GAAUUAAUGAUAUGAAAACAAGGAAAGGACUGGCCCUUGUUGAUAUUGUAAGAGAAGUGACAAUAGUUAUUAGGAUCAAGGAGAGAAGGUUGAAUUUUCAGGGCCCCUAAUAUCUCAAAUGCAUACAGUUGAUGAUCUCUUAGAAAGAUACGAGCGCCACAUUCGGCAUACAGUCCGAAGAUCACGGUUUCAGAGAGGAAGAAAUAGGUGAGGUUAAAAUAAGUGAUGAAGAGGAUAAUAUAUCAAUAGGU